rnacentral:rRNA from 1 species
CCUACGGGUGGCUGCAGUGAGGAAUAUUGGUCAAUGGACGCAAGUCUGAACCAGCCAUGCCGCGUGGAGGAUGACAGCCUUCUGGGUUGUAAACUUCUUUUAUAUGGGAAGAAAAGUACGGUUUCUACUGUAUCCGACGGUACCAUAUGAAUAAGCACCGGCUAACUCCGUGCCAGCAGCCGCGGUAAUACGGAGGGUGCAAGCGUUAUCCGGAUUUACUGGGGUUAAGGCGGAUAUUGGCGUCUGUGGAGAAAUCUCCGGGCUCAACCCGGAAACUGCCUUUGAUACUAUUUAUCUUGAAUUUCGUUGAGGUUGGCGGAAUAUAUCAUGUAGCGGUGAAAUGCAUAGAUAUGAUAUAGAACACCGAUUGCGUAGGCAGCUGGCUGAACGAACAUUGACGCUGAGGCACGAAAGCGUGGGUAGCGAACAGGAUUAGAUACCCGUGUAGUC